rnacentral:tRNA from 1 species
GCCUGGGUGGUGGAACUGGUAGACACAGCGGACUUAAAAUCCGCCGAUUGGAAACGAUCGUACGGGUUCGAUUCCCGUCCUGGGCA